GAUGAACGCUAGCGGCAGGCCUAAUACAUGCAAGUCGUACGGCAACACAGUUGCGAGCAAUCGCAACCGGUGGCGAGUGGCGCACGGGUGAGUAACGCGUAUGUAACCUACCCUUCUCCGGGACAUAACUCCGCGAAAGCGGUGCUAAUAUCCCAUACCAACUCAUCAAGACAUCUUCUUGAGUUGAAAGCAGCAAUGCGGUGAAGGAUGGGCAUGCGUCCCAUUAGCUGGUUGGUGAGGUAAUGGCCCACCAAGGCUACGAUGGGUAGGGGUUCUGAGAGGAAGGCCCCCCAACUGGGACUGAGACACGGCCCAGACUCCUACGGGAGGCAGCAGUGAGGAAUAUUGGACAAUGGAUGGAAAUCUGAUCCAGCCAUGCCGCGUGCAGGAAGACAGCCUUACGGGUGUAAACUUCUUUUCUGUCAGAAGAAUAAGCUUGUCGAGACGAGUGAUGCCGGUAUGACAGGAAU
rnacentral:rRNA from 1 species